UGCAAGUCGAACGAUGAACCACUUCGGUGGGGAUUAGUGGCGAACGGGUGAGUAACACGUGGGCAAUCUGCCCUGCACUCUGGGACAAGCCCUGGAAACGGGGUCUAAUACCGGAUACAACCACUGACCGCAUGGUCGGGUGGUGGAAAGCUCCGGCGGUGCAGGAUGAGCCCGCGGCCUAUCAGCUUGUUGGUGAGGUAAUGGCUCACCAAGGCGACGACGGGUAGCCGGCCUGAGAGGGCGACCGGCCACACUGGGACUGAGACACGGCCCAGACUCCUACGGGAGGCAGCAGUGGGGAAUAUUGCACAAUGGGCGAAAGCCUGAUGCAGCGACGCCGCGUGAGGGAUGACGGCCUUCGGGUUGUAAACCUCUUUCAGCAGGGAAGAAGCGAAAGUGACGGUACCUGCAGAAGAAGCGCCGGCUAACUACGUGCCAGCAGCCGCGGUAAUACGUAGGGCGCAAGCGUUGUCCGGAAUUAUUGGGCGUAAAGAGCUCGUAGGCGGCUUGUCGCGUCGGUUGUGAAAGCCCGGGGCUUAACCCCGGGUCUGCAGUCGAUACGGGCAGGCUAGAGUUCGGUAGGGGAGAUCGGAAUUCCUGGUGUAGCGGUGAAAUGCGCAGAUAUCAGGAGGAACACCGGUGGCGAAGGCGGAUCUCUGGGCCGAUACUGACGCUGAGGAGCGAAAGCGUGGGGAGCGAACAGGAUUAGAUACCCUGGUAGUCCACGCCGUAAACGGUGGGCACUAGGUGUGGGCAACAUUCCACGUUGUCCGUGCCGCAGCUAACGCAUUAAGUG
rnacentral:rRNA from 1 species